ensembl:lncRNA
GCCUCCCUUGGUGCCUGCUGUACACUGUGCAGCAUUGGGUGACUCCCCAGGUUGCUUAGGUGAUGGUUUCUGACAUCUGGAACAGAGGUGAAUGAAGAUAAAAGUAAAAUGGCAGCUUUGAAGGAACGCUGAGCACAUGCUAGGCAGUAUUCUAAGUCUUUCCGUGGAUUGUAUUAGUUAUCCAUCGGUCCGUAACAAAUUCCCCCAAAACAUAAGCAACGAAUAGUCAGCCCUAUCCAGUGUGGAAGGGGACUACACCAGGACAUGAAUAUCACUGGGGCCAUCUUGGAGGCUAGCUACCCAUGUAUUACCUCACUUAACUCUCAAAAUGUGCCGGAGAAGCCUUCAUUGAAGAGACUGAAGUGAAGAAGGAGGUGCUAGGUGUGGGAGAUGCAGAUUUCAGAGGUUCUAGAGACGUCCCUCCACGCCAGCAUGUGCAAUGUGAGCGUCGUGCCUCCUCGUCUGACGGCAGCGAUGUCUCCAGUGGAGAAGCCCCAUCAGAGGUGGUUAGUGAAUUGUUCCCGGCUUUGUCACUUCCAAGCCAGAGUCUUCAGCCCUGCAGCAGAUUCUGUGAGCUACCAAAUAGCUUCAGGAUCCUUUGGUUUCCUUGCGACUGUGAAACAAAGUUCCUGGCCCAGGCUGUGCUUCAGCCCAGACUCCCAACCGCCUGCAGAAUGGCUGGCACGCCACUCCAACCCUCGCUUCUGCAUGCCUGGAAGGAACAAGACAGCGAAGCGGCCUGAAUGCUCCCCGAAUGCCAUAGCAGGCCUCGCAGUGGGGCCCCAGGCGGCCAGCAUUGUGCAAGCAAGAGAAGCGGGCCCUGGAAUCCUUUCUUUUCCGGAGAAUUUAUGCUCAGGACAAAAGGAGCCAUUAUCCCCAGGGCUGCUGUGCGGCUGCUGCCCAGACUGUGGCCCAGGUGUCACAUGCUGUCGCCAUCUCUCAGCCUGCUUUCUCCCUUUGUCUGUGGGAGCACAGAAGCUUGGCCCCUGCUCCCUUCUCUGACACCCCCAGCCCUCUUUGGGCUUUGGUCCCUGGCCUCUGCUUUUGUGAAAUAAACUUGAACCCUCAGUAGACUUGGAGAGACCAGAGUCAGUUGUGCGGGUGAUGGACUGGGUUCAGCUUUAGGAUGCUGCCACUUCUGGUUCCUGACUAGAGCACUGUGCCCAAAUCUGGACCCAGCCCUGCCCGUGGGGCCCUGGCAUUCUGCAUAGUUUUCACCAGGCUCCUCUGAGGAUUUCCCUUGCCUACAAAAUUCAGCCUGAGCUCCAGGGUUGGGCCUGCCAGGCUUUCAUAUACUGAG